GUAUUUUACCUGACAUAGGAACUAAAGAUUUCUGGAGGAAGUAAAACAUAUCAAUAAAGAUAAUGUUUGAAAGGACUACAUUUCCCAACAUUUCAGGAGUAAAAUUGCUGAACAAAGCUAAGAAAAUCCUUCACGUGAAAAAUAACUGAGGAGCAGAGAAGCUCCAGCAGUUUUCCGGUGGCUGAUGGAACAUCACCUCAAAGGUCUACUUUGUCAAUUCUUAAGUUUGGGGUUCUUCACGCUUCAUCCUUGCCUGUAUUCCUGCUGGGAAUCUGAUGCAUUCCUAAGUAAAACUGUAAAAAGAAGUUAAUCACAAGUGCAUGGCAAUGGAGAAUUCAAUGACAACUCACGAAGUUUGCUACCACUGCCUUGGUAAGCUCAGGAAGUUUUAUUUUCCAUUGGAAUAUACUGGAAACCUGUCCUUAUCCACAUACAUAGAUCUCCAUCAUUCUAAGACUGGACAAUAUUUCAUUUUCUGCAGGAUGAGAAAUCCAAGAUCAGUGGGUCAGCAGAUUCAGUUCUUAACAAGAGCCCAAUUUCAAGCCCACUGCCUGGCUUGCUGAUGGUUGCAGUCUACGUGUAUCCUCACAUGGUAGAGAAAGGAAGCUUAUGGUAUUUCGUCCUCUUCUUAUAAAGGUACGAAUCCCAUCAUGAGUGUUCCACCCUGGUGACCUCAUCUAACUAAUAUGUAGUAGGAUCAACUGGAUUCAUCCUAAUAUCUCUAGGAGGUAGCAUCACUGCCUGUGGUUUUUGUCCAUCUCUCAACACUUGAGAGGAUGACUAAAAGGAGGAAAUUGUUGAUAAUAAACCGACCUAAGUAAAAUAAACUGGCCUAAAUCAGUCUCCAUACUUGAAUGGUGAUGUGAUCUAAAGAGCCCUCAAUAUGUAGUGAACUACAACCUAAUUUGAUAAGAAAGCAGGUGUACAGGUGUAACCUAGCUGAGUGUAGCCUUAUAGCUAAGUAGCUGAGCUCAAUCACAGCAGCCAAUCCCUCAACCAAUUUCAGACUAAAGGUUGCCAAAUUAUGCCCAACUAGGUCAAAUGCCUGACCAUACCAAUCAGGUAAUUUCUGUAUGUCUUUCCCAUUUUAAUGGUUGUAGAAGUAAUUCACUACACUGUAAAAGGGGAGUAUUCCAAACCAUCCCUCACUCUGGAAUGCUGCCAGUUCUAUAACCUUUUACUUAUUCAAGUAAACUGUUAAAUUGAACUGGUAUGUUUUUCUUUUAAAAAAAGUGAUCAAGAAAUAGGAAACAACCAUAUCUCCUAGCUGGUCAUCCUAUUUUCGACUCUUACUGAUUGCUAAACCUUCUUCCACACACCAGUAAGUUCCCCCAGCUUAAAAACUCUCAAUCGCUUAUCACAGCAUUUAGAAUAAAAUUCAAAAUAACUGUCUUGGCCUUCAGGCCCUAUAUGAUCUAGUCUCUGCCUCUCUACACUUCCUCUCACAGCAGACUCUUUCUCACUACACUCUAGCUACUCUAUAGGUCUCAAUCCAUGCCUCUAACAUGGCAACUUUUCUGCCUUGGGGCUUUGUACUGUACUUCAUUGUGCUUGGAACACUUUUUUCCUUACUUUCUUUGUAUUCUUCAAGUUUCACUUUAAAAUUCUGACAUACUGGUACCAAGCAUGUGAUCCUGGCCCUCAUAAAGAAUAGGAAUUCAAAUAGUUGAAUCCUCCCCCUAUUAAGACUAGCAGUCUUUCAAGGACCUGGGUUCAACCCUCAAUACUUCAAAAAACAAAACAACAUAAAAC